CAGCAGCCACGGUAAUACGGAGGGCGCGAGCGUUACCCGGAUUUACUGGGCGUAAAGAGUGUGUAGGCGGUGCUAUAAGUUCGGUGUGAAAUCUCCCGGCUCAACUGGGAGGGUGCGCCGAAAACUGUAGUGCUCGAACGUGGGAGAGGAAAGCGGAAUUCCUGGUGUAGCGGUGAAAUGCGUAGAUAUCAGGAGGAACACCUGCGGUGUAGACGGCUUUCUGGACCAUUGUUGACGCUGAGACACGAAAGCGUGGGUAGCAAACAGGAUUAGAUACCCCAGUAGUCCCUGUCUCUUAUAC
rnacentral:rRNA from 1 species